AUUAAUGAAGUUAAGAGUCAUAAACGUAUUUUAUUUUAUUUUAUUUUAUUGUUUUUAUAAAAUUAUAACAAUAUACGUUUAUGUAGUAACACUUCAAAUAAUAAUGAAGGUUUUUUCCUUAUUAUAUUAUUCACUUUAUAUAUAAAUAAAAUACAAUCACACAAUAUAGAAAUAAAUGUUUUAUUUAUUUUUUUUAUUGUAUAUGAUCAUUGUAUAUAUAUAUGAAUAAUAAUAUAUGAUUUCAAUUUCUUUUUUCUUAUUUUUUUUCCAUCUAGAGGAAAUAAAUAUUAAAGAAAAACCUUAUAAUU
rnacentral:sRNA from 1 species